AAAAUGUGACAAACAGCAAAAUAUAUACAAAUGAACGAAUGUUCAUUGCAUUGCAUUGGUUCUUCAUGCCUGGAAAAGUACUUAAUUUGAAACUUUGUUUAUUGUUUUUAAUCGUAAAUACACUGACAUAUAGCAUUUUUAACUAUAGGCAAUUUGUACAAUCACUUGAAAAAAAUUGGACACACUCGAAAAAGUCCGGACUGCUCUCGAAAAAACCCGA
rnacentral:lncRNA from 1 species